rnacentral:rRNA from 1 species
GACGAACGCUGGCGGCGUGCUUAACACAUGCAAGUCGUACGGUAAGGCCCUUUCGGGGGUACACGAGUGGCGAACGGGUGAGUAACACGUGAGUAACCUGCCCACAACUUUGGGAUAACGCUAGGAAACUGGUGCUAAAACUGGAUAUGUGCUCCUGCUGCAUGGUGGGGGUUGGAAAGCUCCGGCGGUUGUGGAUGGACUCGCGGCCUAUCAGCUUGUUGGUGGGGUAGUGGCCUACCAAGGCGGCGACGGGUAGCCGGCCUGAGAGGGUGACCGGCCACAUUGGGACUGAGAUACGGCCCAGACUCCUACGGGAGGCAGCAGUGGGGAAUAUUGCACAAUGGGCGCAAGCCUGAUGCAGCAACGCCGCGUGCGGGAUGACGGCCUUCGGGUUGUAAACCGCUUUCAGCAGGGACGAAGCUUUUUGUGACGGUACCUGCAGAAGAAGCACCGGCUAACUACGUG